GACGAACGCUGGCGGCGUGCUUAACACAUGCAAGUCGAACGGAAAGGCCCUGCUUGCCGGGUACUCGAGUGGCGAACGGGUGAGUAACACGUGGGUGAUCUGCCCUGCACUUCGGGAUAAGCUUGGGAAACUGGGUCUAAUACCGGAUAGGAGCCAUCUUUAGUGUGGUGGUUGGAAAGUUUUUUCGGUGUAGGAUGAGCUCGCGGCCUAUCAGCUUGUUGGUGGGGUAAUGGCCUACCAAGGCGGCGACGGGUAGCCGGCCUGAGAGGGUGUACGGCCACAUUGGGACUGAGAUACGGCCCAGACUCCUACGGGAGGCAGAAGUGGGGAAUAUUGCACAAUGGGCGCAAGCCUGAUGCAGCGACGCCGCGUGGGGGAUGAAGGCCUUCGGGUUGUAAACUCCUUUCGCUAGGGACGAAGCUUUUUUGUGACGGUACCUAGAUAAGAAGCACCGGCUAACUACGUG
rnacentral:rRNA from 1 species